rnacentral:rRNA from 1 species
GACGAACGCUGGCGGCGUGCUUAACACAUGCAAGUCGAACGGUGAAGCUCCAGCUUGCUGGAGUGGAUCAGUGGCGAACGGGUGAGUAACACGUGAGCAACCUGCCCCUGACUCUGGAAUAAGCGCUGGAAACGGCGUCUAAUACUGGAUACGAGAAGGGUCCGCAUGGGCACUUUCUGGAAAGUUUUUCGGUUGGGGAUGGGCUCGCGGCCUAUCAGCUUGUUGGUGAGGUAAUGGCUCACCAAGGCGACGACGGGUAGCCGGCCUGAGAGGGCGACCGGCCACACUGGGACUGAGACACGGCCCAGACUCCUACGGGAGGCAGCAGUGGGGAAUAUUGCACAAUGGGCGAAAGCCUGAUGCAGCGACGCCGCGUGAGGGAUGACGGCCUUCGGGUUGUAAACCUCUUUCGGCAGGGAAGAAGCGAAAGUGACGGUACCUGCAGAAGAAGCACCGGCUAACUACGUG